UAAGGAAUAUUGGACAAUGGAGGCAACUCUGAUCCAGCCAUGCCGCGUGAAGGAAUAAGGCCCUAUGGGUUGUAAACUUCUUUUAGACGGGACAAAACCCCUUACGUGUAAAGGGUUGAUGGUACUGUCAGAAUAAGCAUCGGCUAACUUCGUGCCAGCAGCCGCGGUAAUACGAAGGAUGCAAGCGUUAUCCGGAAUUAUUGGGUUUAAAGGGUGCGUAGGCUGACUAAUAAGUCAGUGGUGAAAGCCUGCAGCUUAACUGCAGAAUUGCCAUUGAUACUGUUAGUCUUGAGUACAGUUGAGGUAGGCGGAAUGUGUCAUGUAGCGGUGAAAUGCUUAGAUAUGACACAGAACACCGAUUGCGAAGGCAGCUUGCUAAGCUGUAACUGACGCUGAGGCACGAAAGCGUGGGGAGCAAACA
rnacentral:rRNA from 1 species